rnacentral:rRNA from 1 species
UGGGGAAUAUUGCACAAUGGGGGGAACCCUGAUGCAGCGACGCCGCGUGGGUGAAGAAGUAUUUCGGUAUGUAAAGCCCUAUCAGCAGGGAAGAAAGUGACGGUACCUGAGUAAGAAGCCCCGGCUAACUACGUGCCAGCAGCCGCGGUAAUACGUAGGGGGCAAGCGUUAUCCGGAUUUACUGGGUGUAAAGGGAGCGUAGACGGCGCUGCAAGUCUGGAGUGAAAGCCCGCUGCUUAACGGCGGGACUGCUUUGGAAACUGUGAUGCUGGAGUGCCGGAGGGGCAGGCGGAAUUCCUGGUGUAGCGGUGAAAUGCGUAGAUAUCAGGAAGAACACCGGUGGCGAAGGCGGCCUGCUGGACGGUAACUGACGUUGAGGCUCGAAAGCGUGGGGAGCAAACAGG